UACGUAGGGUGCAAGCGUUGUCCGGAUUUAUUGGGCGUAAAGAGCUCGUAGGCGGUCUGUCGCGUCGGAUGUGAAAACCCAGGGCUCAACCCUGGGCCUGCAUUCGAUACGGGCAGACUAGAGUACGGCAGGGGAGACUGGAAUUCCUGGUGUAGCGGUGAAAUGCGCAGAUAUCAGGAGGAACACCGGUGGCGAAGGCGGGUCUCUGGGCCGAAAUUGACGCUGAGGAGCGAAAGCGUGGGGAGCGAACAGG
rnacentral:rRNA from 1 species